GUGCCAGCCGCCGCGGUAAUACGUAGGGGGCAAGCGUUGUCCGGAUUUAUUGGGCGUAAAGCGCGUGUAGGCGGCUGGGUAGGUCCGCUGUGAAAACUCGAGGCUCAACCUCGAGAGGUCGGUGGAAACCAUCCAGCUAGAGUCCGGAAGAGGAGAAUGGAAUUCCUGGUGUAGCGGUGAAAUGCGCAGAUAUCAGGAAGAACACCCGUGGCGAAGGCGGUUCUCUGGGACGGUACUGACGCUGAGACGCGAAAGCGUGGGGAGCGAACAGGAUUAGAAACCCUUGUAGUCC
rnacentral:rRNA from 1 species